rnacentral:rRNA from 1 species
AGAGUUUGAUCCUGGCUCAGAGCGAACGCUGGCGGCGUGCUUAACACAUGCAAGUCGAACGCACAGCAUUCUGUAGUAAUACAGGGUGUGGGCGCGUGGCGAACGGGUGCGUAACACGUGGAUAACCUUCCUUGAGGUGGGGAAUAACCCAGUGAAAACUGGGCUAAUACCGCAUAACAUGACGAUGGCACAUGCUGUUGUCUUCAAAGGCGCAAGUCGCCACAAGAGGGAUCCGCGGCCGAUUAGCUUGUUGGCGAGGUAAUGGCUCACCAAGGCAAUGAUCGGUAGCCGGACUGAGAGGUUGGCCGGCCACACUGGAACUGAGACACGGUCCAGACUCCUACGGGAGGCAGCAGUGGGGAAUCUUGCACAAUGGACGAAAGUCUGAUGCACCAACGCCGCGUGGGGGAUGAAGCUUCUCGGAGUGUAAACCCCUUUCGACCCGGAAGAAUGCCCGCAAGGGUUUGACGGUACGGGUAUAAGAAGCCCCGGCUAACUACGUGCCAGCAGCCGCGGUAAUACGUAGGGGGCCAGCGUUGCUCGGAAUUACUGGGCGUAAAGGGUCUGUAGGCGGUGCGGCAAGUCGAUAGUGAAAUCCCUAGGCUUAACCUAAGAGCUGCUAGCAAAACUGCCGUGCUAGAGUGUGAGAGAGGCGAGUGGAAUUACGGGUGUAGCGGUGAAAUGCUUAGAUGUCCGUAGGAACAUCCGAGGCGAAAGCGGCUCGCUGGAUCACAACUGACGCUGAGAGACGAAAGCUAGGGGAGCAAACAGGAUUAGAUACCC